rnacentral:sRNA from 1 species
GCAGAGUGAAGGGCCGGGAACAGUGGAGGGUGCGAGGAAGACAAUGGGGGAGGACCCUGAGGCGGCCUCUGUGAGCCGACAGGAACACGUGGUCGAUCAGAGAGAGACUCUAUUUAAAGUCAUUUCCGCAGUUAAUUGCUUCAUGCUGAUGUAGUUUCUGAAAACUUCACAAGCACACAAAAAUCCUAGAACAUGGUGUCUUUUAGGAGGUUCGUGAACGGAUGGGGAGGACCCUGAAAAGCACUGUGGAAUACAGGUUUCUAGUAACUUCAAAAUCACAUCAUUUGGACUGGGUAAGAAUUGCUGAAACUUUAAUGAAAAGACUGACUGGCUUAUAAAACUGCUAACCCAAAUAGAAUAAAAAUUAAUUGAAUACCGAGGAAAUACUUCACCAGGUUUGCAUACUUAAUCAGCCUAUACUGAAAUUGUUUAGAUAUACAAUUUGAAUGAACUCCAUGGUCUAAGUCAAAUUACCUGUGAUAACCCAUCAGUUAUCCAUGCUAUGUGCCCAAUUUGGAGAAACAACUGGCACCCAAGAGGACAUAAGUCCGAUGUUAAGCAUGGACUCAUGGAGAACCAAGAUGGCUGCCUUG